rnacentral:rRNA from 1 species
UACGUAGGGUGCGAGCGUUUAAUCGGAAUUACUGGGCGUAAAGCGUGCGCAGGCGGUUCGUUGUGUCGGCGGUGAAAGCCCCGGGCUUAACCUGGGAAUGGCCGUCGAAACUGGCGAACUGGAGUGUGGCAGAGGGGGGUGGAAUUCCGCGUGUAGCAGUGAAAUGCGUAGAGAUGCGGAGGAACACCGAUGGCGAAGGCAGGUCUCUGGGCAUUAACUGACGCUGAGGAGCGAAGCAUGGGGAGCGAACAGG